UCCAACGGUAUGGAUUUGUGGUACACAACAUUAGGAUCUGAUUGAAAACGAAUUUGGGCAGCAACAGUGGCUGCAACAUCAGGAAUAGGGUCAGGCCUUUGAGCUGUAGUGGCUGCAACAUUUUCAGCAGUAGUUGCUGGAAAUUCUGGAAUAGACUCAACUGUAGUGGCUGCAACAUUUUCAGCAGUAGUUGAUGGAAUAAAAUUGACUUCCUCGCUGUCCAGCAACUCUAAUUCAUCUUCUAAUUCAUCCAAAUCGAUACGCACAUCAUUUCCAGCUUCAUUUUCACUAGAAUGACUGGAUUCUUCACUUAAACAAAGUACAUAAUCGCUGGAUUCUUGGGAAGACAUGAUCGAUGGAGUAGGAUAAUAUUUCAGAUCGUAGGAAUUGAAGAAAAUGUCAAACAAAUGUGGAGGAAAAGAAGAAGAAAAAAUUCUGAUGGUGGAGAAUCAAAGAAAUGUGAAGGAGAAGAAGGAAAAAAAUUCUAAUGGUGGAGAGUAGAGGAGAUGUGGAGGAGAUGUGGAGGAGAAGAACUGAAAAAGAAUUAUAAGGACAAAGGAGGCAACGGCUAGGGUUUCAAAGAUUAAGAUUUAAA
rnacentral:lncRNA from 1 species